CUAGCUCCAGCUCCUUCAGUGUGGACUUAAUGGACUUGCAUAAUUGGGACACUCCAGAAAAAGAUUUAGAUGUGGCAUCUUCCUCCCUGUGAAAAUUUGGAAAAGCAAGCCACUCAUUCUACAUCCAGCUCAACCCAUUCAAUUUCCACAUAGAGAAAGUGAAUCUCAGAGAAGCUGUCACACAGACCCUUGGGGAUUCUGGAAUCAAGAAGCUGGAACCCUCAUACAGAGCUAUCUCCAAGGUACUACUCUAUCAGAGAGAGUCUGCAUAUCUGGGUACUGAAAAUCAUCCAUGCCUUUGUACCUGGAAAACUGGAGUGGCCAGUGACCUGGGAAAGGCCUAAGUCAGGGCCACAGCUUUUGGCAGAGCUGGGAGAAGGAAUCUAUAGACUCCUGACACUCCACACCUUCCCUAUGAUACCAUGCGCUCUAUUAAUGUACAUGUA